UACGUAGGUGGCAAGCGUUGUCCGGAUUUACUGGGCGUAAAGAGCGCGCAGGCGGUCGUUCAAGUCGCGUGUGAAGGCCCCCGGCUCAACUGGGGAGGGUCACGCGAUACUGAUCGACUCGAAGGCAGGAGAGGGAAGUGGAAUUCCCGGUGUAGUGGUGAAAUGCGUAGAUAUCGGGAGGAACACCAGUGGCGGAGGCGACUUUCUGGUCAGUAACUGACGCUGAGGCGCGAAAGCGUGGGGAGCAAACAGG
rnacentral:rRNA from 1 species